CUUGCUCCACAGGUGCCAACUCCACUUCGGAAAAAACGGAUAAAACUCCCCCAUAUCCUGGUCCCCUGCCUUCAAGUUUCACAUCGAUUUCCAGUGCGGUGAAGAAGGGCACUGGGCACGGAAGCACCCCAACCAACUGCACAGACCAACCAGACCGUGCCCCAGCCGUGGUAAGCGAGGUCAUUGGAAAGUAGACUGUCCACUAGAGGGUGGUCCUCCUCCGGCGGCAAAGCCCCAUGGGGGGCUGACACCCUCGAAAGACUACCCUUCAGACCUGCUGGGCAUCCUCGAAGAUUGAAGAUGCCUGGACUCGGACACCCUGAUCACCCUUGCCAAGCCCAGGGCCAAGCUGUGGGUAGCAGGGUGGAUAGAGGCCUUCCCCAUCUACCAAGAGACUGCAUCAGUGGUGGCACAGGUGCUGGUGGAACACAUCGUUCCUCGUUUCGGGCUCCCCACUUCACUCCAAUCUGAUAACAGACCUGCCUUCAUCUCCCGGGUCACUCAGCUAACAGCCAAGGCUCUCAAUAUCACCUAGAACCUCCAUAUACCCUAUCACCCCCAAUCAUUGGGUAAAGUCAAAAAGGGCUAAUGGUCUCCUAAAGACCAACUAACUAAGCUGUCUGUAGAGGUAAAGCUCUCAUGGCCCAAUCUUCUCCCCAUUGCUCUCACUUGGCUGCAUGCUGUCCCCUGGGGACCAGCUGAAGUAAGUGCAUUUGAGCUGAUGUAUGGCAGGCCCUUCUUACUGAACACAGGCCUGCCCGCUACCUCUCCUCCUUUGGCCUCCAACCUUCCUUACUUUUCACUGUUGAGACAUCUUCUCAGGGAACACGCAGACCACUCCUACCUCAACCUACAUCAUCCAACAACCCAGGAGAUGCAGCAAUCCUUCAGCUAGGGGAUGAGGAACUUCUAAGAGAACUCCAGCCAAAAUCCCUCCAACCCCGCUGGACAGGGCCUUAUACAGUAAUCCUCACUACGCCUUCAGCAGUCAAACUACACAGGCAUUCUUCCUUGUAUCACCUUUCUAGGCUCAAACAGGCCCCCGAACACAAUGAUUGGGUGUAUUGUGGGUGGGUUCUCUUAAGCUGCAGGUUAGUCAUGUCAAGUGCAACCAGCCAGAUGAAUAGCCCAGUGGUCUCCAGGCAGAGUUACUCUGCAUGGAAGUUUAAGCUCCAACUAGCUCUUUCUCACAGAACCAAAGCCUGAGAAGUAGGCACCCAAAGUUGCCCACAUGCAGGUUGUCAGACACCCGUUCAAAUACCAAUACACACAGACAUCUUAAACACCUUCUCAAACACAACGCUGUGCUUUCCAUGUGACCAAACCUCUCAUACAUGUACUUUCCAGUCCAACAUGUAUGGGGGAUGUCAUCCUGAAUUAGACACAUGUAGGGUUCGUGCAGUAGGAGAUACAACAAGAGGAGUCUCUGACAACAUGUUCGCCAGAAUACAGGAUAGGAUAUACAUUACCAUUAGUGACCCAUGGGAUCAAUGCUGGGAGAAAGGAGUACAGGGCAAGCUAUACGAUAGUUACCAAGCCCAGCCAUGGGGCACAGUAUACAUCAAGAUGGAAUGGACCACUGUGAAUGCCACUCUCAUGCAGGUUCUAAACACCCAGGUACAGGUAUCAAAUAAUAUUCUACAGACAGAAGAGGCACUAAAACAGAAGAUUCAGUCGGACCCCUACCCCCGCUCCCUUCGACCAGCAAAAGCACCACUUUCCUGGGCUGGAGUCAUUGGAGAAACAGUGCAGUUUCUUAAUGCUUCACAUAUCCUCAGCAAUGUUGUGGGGGCCCAGCCUACGGCCGAGGCUGAGCCCCACUCUAGCUGGACAAUGCCCUAAAGAUGGCGCCUGCUUCCUGCUCACCACCCUUUCCCCUCUUCCCUGUUGGGGAUUGGCCCAGCAGACUUCCGUACCCGUGCACAGCUCGUGCUGCCCGCUUAGAGUGGCGUGUGACACCUAUCCGCUUAAAGGUCAUGCAUGAUACUGUCCUGGAUUGGUUAGGUGACUGAAUAUAAGGGAGCCCGCCGGGAGGGAAAGAAAAAAAAGGAGGAGCUGCCCGACAACUGCUGUAACCACCAUGAGAGAUUAGACAAUAAAGCCUAGAGAAGAAUCAAGACCUUGGGCGUGUUGCUUCGGUCCCUGAAGGGUCGCGACAAGUGGUGCCGAAACCUGGGAAUCGCUAAACCUCGUCGCGACCUGAUCCGCUGACCCUGGUGCCUGCUGAUGAACGUUGCUGGACGCCGUUCGGUCGGCUGGCCAGACCGGGAGAGGGAACCGAGGAGGGUGAGUGGAUCGGCGAGUAAACUGAAAGUAUACGUGGCAGGGCAGACAGCAGGCAGUUGCGGUGGGUGUUUAUGUGUAGUGUGUGUGUCCUGUUAG